rnacentral:rRNA from 1 species
CCUACGGGAGGCAGCAGUGAGGAAUAUUGGUCAAUGGGCGCGAGCCUGAACCAGCCAAGUAGCGUGAAGGAUGACUGCCCUACGGGUUGUAAACUUCUUUUAUAAAGGAAUAAAGUGAGGCACGUGUGCCUUUUUGUAUGUACUUUAUGAAUAAGGAUCGGCUAACUCCGUGCCCACAGCCGCGGGAAUACGGAGGAUUCGAGCGGUAUACCGAUUUGUUUGGUUUAAAGGGAGCGUAGAUGGGUUGGUAAGUCAGUUGUGAAAGUUUGCGGCUUAACCGUAAAAUUGCAAUUGAUACUGGCAGUCUUGAGUACAGUAGAGGUAGGCGGAAUGCGUGGUGUAGCGGUGAAAUGCUUAGAUAUCACGAAGAACUCCGAUUGCGAAGGCAGCUUACUAACCUGCCACUGACAUUGAUGCUCGAAAGUGUGGGUAUCAAACAGGAUUAGAUACCCCAGUAGUC